rnacentral:rRNA from 1 species
UACAUAGGGUGCAAGCGUUAAUCGGAAUUACUGGGCGUAAAGCGUGCGCAGGCGGUGAUGUAAGACAGAUGUGAAAUCCCCGGGCUCAACCUGGGAACUGCAUUUGUGACUGCAUCGCUGGAGUGCGGCAGAGGGGGAUGGAAUUCCGCGUGUAGCAGUGAAAUGCGUAGAUAUGCGGAGGAACACCGAUGGCGAAGGCAGCCCCCUGGGCCAACACUGACGCUCAGGCACGAAAGCGUGGGGAGCAAACAGG